UUCCUGACAACGCAGAUGGGAUUUGCUCCAAAGAACCAUUCCUAAACAGGAAACAGAAAGCUGUGGAUCUCAUCAAAACAGACAAACUCAGAGUUGAGCAGGGGAGGUUUCUGAGAACCUUGGCCACUGACCCAAAAAGAGGGAAGAAGAGAGCCUGACCAGCUACUGCCUUCCCUGCCAGACGGAGAAGCCUGGACAAGAAGUGUUCAGCACCUGACCACUGACAGGCCGGAAGCAUUGUGAACCCCAAAAAAACACCCAGGAGCCAAUUCCAAUGCAAUCACACUAGGAUCUUUAUCCAAGCUCGAGUGUGGGCCUCACGACCAUCUCUGAUACAUCAGGACAGGAGGAUGAAGCCCUGAGCCCUCAGAGGGACACGGUUUUAUGGGAAACGGCGAGCAAGCGAGGGGGUUUCCAGCCUGACAGGCAUCUAAUUGAAUGACUAUUGUAAGCCAACAGAAAAUCUCUCCAGAUAGACAGCG
ensembl:lncRNA